AGAUUGGAGCCCAUUGGUGUUAUUUAUCAAUCCCCCCAGUAUUUGCAGUAUGGUACUCCGUUAAGUGGAAGAGAAUAUUUAUCAACAAGAGAAAACAAGUUGACUCCAGUAUCAGACGCUAAUCAAUCAGUGAUACAAUUACAUUUAUUAUUAGAAGAAUCACUACCAGAACCAACUGACAUCAUCUAUAACACGUGCAGGUAUAUUAAUAGUCUAUUAAC